rnacentral:rRNA from 1 species
AACGAACGCUGGCGGCGCGCCUAAUACAUGCAAGUCGAGCGAGAAGGUGUAGCAAUACACUUGUAAAGCGGCGAACGGGUGAGGAAUACAUGGGUAAUCUACCAUCGAGUGGGGAAUAACCAGCCGAAAGGUUGGCUAAUACCGCGUACGCCUCCGAAUCUUCGGGUUCGGAGGGAAAGCCGCACUGUGAGUGCGGCGCUCUUUGAUGAGCUCAUGUCCUAUCAGCUUGUUGGUAGGGUAACGGCCUACCAAGGCUUUGACGGGUAGCUGGUCUGAGAGGACGAUCAGCCACACUGGCACUGCGACACGGGCCAGACUCCUACGGGAGGCAGCAGUAAGGAAUAUUGCGCAAUGGGCGAAAGCCUGACGCAGCGACGCCGCGUGGGGGAUGAAGGUCUUCGGAUUGUAAACCCCUUUCGGGUAGGGAAGAUGGAGCGAGCAAUCGUUCGGACGGUACCUCCAGAAGCAGCCACGGCCAACUUCGUGCCAGCA